rnacentral:lncRNA from 1 species
GAAUUUUGAGAAUAAGAUGGAUCAUAUAGAAUAUAACUUAUUUUAUAUAUUGGAACUAUGUAUAAAAUCAUCACAUUGAAUUUUAUAAUAAAGUUUAAUUUAUUUUAUAUUGAUCAUCUAUAUUUCAUAUGAUAUAAGGAUGACAAAAAAAUAGGCAAAAUAUUUCUUCUAUUCAUAAAGUAAAAUUUCAUAUAAAAAAUUUGGUUAUGAGGUGUCAUUAGUGUUAUAAUACAUGGA